rnacentral:rRNA from 1 species
AGAGUGAACGCUGGCGGUAGGCCUAACACAUGCAAGUCGAACGGCAGCACAGUGGUAGCAAUACCAUGGGUGGCGAGUGGCGGACGGGUGAGGAAUACAUCGGAAUCUACCUUUUUCGUGGGGGAUAACGUAGGGAAACUUACGCUAAUACCGCAUACGCCCUUCGGGGGAAAGCCGGGGAUCGCAAGACCUGGCGCGGAUAGAUGAGCCGAUGUCGGAUUAGCUAGUUGGUGAGGUAAUGGCUCACCAAGGCGACGAUCCGUAGCUGGUCUGAGAGGAUGAUCAGCCACACUGGAACUGACGACACGGUCCAGACCUCCGUACGGGAGCAGCGAGUGGGGAAUAGUUAGGACAAGUGGGACACAAGCCUGACUCCGAGCCAUACCGGCGUAGGGUAGAA